rnacentral:rRNA from 1 species
UACAGAGGUCCCAAGCGUUGUUCGGAUUCAUUGGGCGUAAAGGGUGCGUAGGUGGCGCCGUAAGUCGGGUGUGAAAUUUCGGAGCUUAACUCCGAGACUGCAUUCGAUACUGCGGUGCUUGAGGACUGGAGAGGAGACUGGAAUUCAUGGUGUAGCAGUGAAAUGCGUAGAGAUCAUGAGGAAGACCAGUGGCGAAGGCGGGUCUCUGGACAGUUCCUGACACUGAGGCACGAAGGCCAGGGGAGCAAACGGG